rnacentral:rRNA from 2 species
AAGCCUCUAAGCAUCAGGUAACAUCAAAUCGUACCCCAAACCGACACAGGUGGUCAGGUAGAGAAUACCAAGGCGCUUGAGAGAACUCGGGUGAAGGAACUAGGCAAAAUGGUGCCGUAACUUCGGGAGAAGGCACGCUGGUGUGUAGGUGAAGCCCCUGCGGGUGGAGCUGAGACCAGUCGAAGAUACCAGCUGGCUGCAACUGUUUAUUAAAAACACAGCACUGUGCAAACACGAAAGUGGACGUAUACGGUGUGACGCCUGCCCGGUGCCGGAAGGUUAAUUGAUGGGGUUAUCCGUAAGGAGAAGCUCUUGAUC